rnacentral:rRNA from 1 species
CGUCAAAGCUUAAUUAUAUUAUUCAACAAAUCCCCUAAACAAAUUAGAACCCUACCCCAAUACUGAAUAAUUCCAUACAUCUAUGGAAGCUAUUAUGUUAAAACUAGUAACAUGAAGAUACCUUCUCUUAAAUAUGAACGUAAGUCAGGAUGGAUUAUACACUGACAAUUAACAGCUUAAACUAAAGUGAUAACAACCCAAGAAAAUUUCACUAACCCAUCUGUUAACCUAACACAAGAAUAUUUAAAGAAUGACUCAAAGAAAAAGAAGGAACUCGGCAAAAGCUGAUUCCGCCUGUUUACCAAAAACAUCGCCUCCUGAAUAUAAACCAUAGGAGGUCCAGCCUGCCCAGUGACUCUGUUUAACGGCCGCGGUAUCCUAACCGUGCGAAGGUAGCGUAAUCACCUGUUUUUUAAUUAAAGACCUGUAUGAAAGGCAUCACGAGAAUCACACUGUCUCCUUUUUCAAGUCAGUGAAACUAAUCUCCUCGUGAAAAAGCGAGGAUACCUCUACAAGACGAGAAGACCCUUUGGAGCUUAAGACAAAUAAAUAUUUGCCCAUUUAUAAAACCCUCCAUGCCUUACAGCAUCAUAUUUAUAAGUCUUGGGUUGGGGCAACCGCGGAAUAAAAACAAACCUCCAAGCUGAACGGAAAUUUUCUAAACAAAAAGCAACAACUUUAUGUAUCACAAACUGACACAAUUUGACCCAAUAUAUUGAUUAACGAACUAAGUUACCCCAGGGAUAACAGCGCAAUCCACUUCAAGAGUUCAUAUCGAAAAGUGGGCUUACGACCUCG